rnacentral:rRNA from 1 species
GACGAACGCUGGCGGCGUGCUUAACACAUGCCAGUCGAACGGAAAGGCCCUGCUUGCAGGGUGCUCGAGUGGCGAACGGGUGAGUAACACGUGGGUGAUCUGCCCCUUACUUUGGGAUAAGCCUGGGAAACUGGGUCUAAUACUGGAUAGGACCAUGCUGUAGGUGGUGUGGUGGAAAGAUUAGUUUCGGUAAGGGAUGAGCUCGCGGCCUAUCAGCUUGUUGGUGGGGUAAUGGCCUACCAAGGCGUCGACGGGUAGCCGGCCUGAGAGGGUGGACGGCCACAUUGGGACUGAGAUACGGCCCAGACUCCUACGGGAGGCAGCAGUGGGGAAUAUUGCACAAUGGGCGCAAGCCUGAUGCAGCGACGCCGCGUGGGGGAUGACGGCCUUCGGGUUGUAAACUCCUUUCAGCCAUGACGAAGCCCUUGUGGUGACGGUAGUGGUAGAAGAAGCACCGGCUAACUACGUG